GGAGGUGGAGGAGGAGGAAAAGGAGGAGGAGAGAAAGACGAUGGCAACGACGACACAAUCGCACCACGAAACACACACCAAGCAAGACUCGAGAGCACUGAGGGCGAGCACGCGAUAGCAGCGCCACGAGGCGCCGCUCGUCCGCGUUAACGACCACGGGCCGAUGCUCCGCCGGCGCGCAUUGGUGGGGAGAAUUCUGGUGGGGGGAGCCACCGACUAAUCUAUGCUCUCUUCGUCGUAACUCCGUUCUUUCGUUUCUUCAAUGAUCAGCGCUUUUCUUUCGAGUUUAACGAGGUUUUUCUUUAUGAUUCCUUCUCUCAGAAUCGUUCUUACUUUUCUGAUAUACCUUCGGUAACCAUUUUCAAACGAUUGUAUGAUAACGAGCACGAAUUGUUUGUCAAAAAUGACAUCUUGCUAAGGCCAACUAUUGUUCCAGAGUUUUAACGAACGAAGGAUAGCACUGUAGAGAGCACACAAUGAUCGAUAGCCGUUCGAUUGCUUUUUUCUACGAUCGAUCCUAAAUACUUCAUGUCUGAAUUGGUUUUAAUGCUUCAGGCACGCUAUUUCUUUCGCGAGCUACGAACUCUCCUUUCGUGCGAAGAAACGGAUCAAAGUAAGAGCAGCAUCGAAGCGCGAACGUUCGAAUUGAAAGACGACGCGUUAUGGGGAAUGACGCGGUGCAUGUGGUAUUUCCGAAGCGUCUAGACUCGCUAAUUUAAACCGACUCUUGCGAAUCUACACACCAACGACGACGAUGGUUCAACCCAGUCUAGCCGCUGUCACAACUAACGAGUGAAAUAUGAGAAACAUCGUAGUCCACGCACAGUUUCACCCUUUCUUCCUAUUGCAAGUAAUAUUACUUUUCUUAUUUCUCGAUGGCCUUCUUUUCCCCAUCCUUGAAGCGUACCUUUCAUCCUAAAGAAUUACGCGCUGCAGAUUUGAAUCUCGAAAGCCACGAUAUAGUCUCUCUCUCUCUCUCUCUCUACUGAGAGGGACUUUAAUUAUGCGUCCACGAUUUAGCAGCGAUCGGGUGACGCGCAUGUCGUGUAAUUAAGGAGAAACGCGACGAGAGAGAUGAGCCAGCGUUCUUUUUAACGACCACUUGAAUUAAAACGCGUUCGCUGCCAAGUAUCUGUCACAUUUACGUUCCGAUAUGCUUUUACAAAUUCUCAAAUACAGCUGUUCGAUGACAAGAAAUCGGAAGCUGCGAAAAGUCCAGCCAAAGAUUCCAUAGUGAUAAGAGAGUUGCUUUUCCCAGAGAACUGAAGAAAUCGUUUAUAAUAUAUAUAUAUAUAUAUAUAUAUAUAUAUAUAUAUAUAUAUAUAUAUAUAUAUAUUAUGUAUAUGUAUGUAUGUAUACCAAACUUCAAAAAUAUGCUUCUCCAAUAACGUGGUCACGCUAGAAAGUUUGCAAAGAUAGAUGAUAGAAAUGACCAACAGAACGAUAAAAUUCCUGGAUGUUGGAACGUGGUACAACCAAAACCAGGGUGGAGCGAUACAUACCAAAUUUCAUUCUUCCUUCGUGUUGAACUGCACUUUCUUUUAAAACAGAAAACGCAGUGUGUUAACGAAGGGUAUCCACGAUGAAAGAUAAAACACAACAUGCUGGAGAGAGAGGGAGAUAGUGAGAAACAAAGAAAUUAUAGAGAAAUGUGAGAGAGAGGGAGAAAAACGCAUUACAUACAGAAGAGCAGAGGAGAGAGGGAGAAAAGAGAAAAAAGCCCAGGGGCGCGGCGCGUACGGCGGCGGUAUGGGUUACCCAUCCAUUCCUUAAACGCCACGAGUGAGACGCUUAACCGAGAAAAGCGAACUUAAGACGAGCGUGCACUUCGACCAAAUAAUAACUUUGAAUCUCCAUUACCAAUAACUGAUAUCAAUUUUGUACUAUUUUUAUGAUAUAAUUUAAAAUUUAUGAUUUAAUGACUAUUUAUUAAUCGACAUUCAAGUAACGAUAAGAAUAAUCAUAAUACCGGUCAUUGACCGUACGAUCAAACGCUCGAGAAAUAUCUAUUUUAGAACCUUUUGUAAUUGUAAUACAAUAAUAAGAUUAAAUACGACCUCGGAUGCAUUUAGAUACCUUGACAAACAAAUUAAUCGAAUGAUUAAUUUUUCUUAUUAUAAAUGUGAACAUUUUCAUUUUAUCUUCGCAAUUUGAUCAAAAUGUUUAAAUCUGACGAUGAUAGACGUUUAUACAAGUUUUGAAAGAUCGUUUACGAUAUUAGAAAAUGAAUAAGCAAACAUUGAUAGGUCUCUUACUGCAUUGUCUUAAUGGCGAAUAUAAUAUUCAUUAAUGUCAGUGGCUUUACGAAGGCCUAAACGAUCGAACCUUCUCUCUCUUUGCUCUUUUGUUAUAUAUAUUCAUUAAGAGAAGAAUAGCAAUCUUAACGCUUUUGCAACGAGCAAUUACUUCCAUCCGUUUGACGUUUAUUCUAUUUGUCUGAUUUUUCAAGAUCUCUUACUUAAUCGUUACGAUGUUUUGUUUCACGAACAGGACAGAUUUUAAUAAAAAUUUCUACGAUCUGUACGAUGACACACCUCACGUAAAUCGCUCAAGAUCUCUUCAGUGAGAGAAUUUUCCUCAUAUUUUUUAAACUUCAUUUAUCUCGUCCAAAAGAAAAAUAUUUUUUCUGAUAAAAACAAGGAGAGAAUAUAUACAAGUAGCGACGAAACUUGAAACUCUGGUAACUUCGAAUGUUUUAAAGUUUUUUCUAGGCUUAAAAUCGUUGAUAUAGAUUUCAAAGUCUAUGUCUCAAAUCGUUCGUCAAUUUCAAAUCGCGAUAAACUCAUGUACUGGAAUCUAAAACAUUACUUCCGAAGCAUGUUGUAGCUUUGGACACGAUUCCAAGCUUACAACUUCAAAAUCUUCGGCCUCGAGUCUUUUGUCAUUUUCGUUGUACUAGCGACAAUGGACACUUUCUGUAUAUAUCGAAUAUUACAUCAUUUUUAUUGCGACAUUUUUAUUAUGUAUUUAUUUAGUAACAAGAUUAUAUUGAAAGUAAUAUA